CCGAAUAGGGGAGCCGGAGGGAAACCGAGUCUUAACCGGGCGUUAAGUUGCAGGGUAUAGACCCGAAACCCGGUGAUCUAGCCAUGGGCAGGUUGAAGGUUGGGUAACACUAACUGGAGGACCGAACCGACUAAUGUUGAAAAAUUAGCGGAUGACCUGUGGCUGGGGGUGAAAGGCCAAUCAAACCGGGAGAUAGCUGGUUCUCCCCGAAAGCUAUUUAGGUAGCGCCUCGUGAAUUCAUCUCCGGGGGUAGAGCACUGUUUCGGCUAGGGGGCCAUCCCGGCUUACCAACCCGAUGCAAACUGCGAAUACCGGAGAAUGUUAUCACGGGAGACACACGGCGGGUGCUAACGUCCGUCGUGAAGAGGGAAACAACCCAGACCGCCAGCUAAGGUCCCAAAGUCAUGGUUAAGUGGGAAACGAUGUGGGAAGGCCCAGACAGCCAGGAUGUUGGCUUAGAAGCAGCCAUCAUUUAAAGAAAGCGUAAUAGCUCACUGGUCGAGUCGGCCUGCGCGGAAGAUGUAACGGGGCUAAACCAUGCACCGAAGCUGCGGCAGCGACGCUGAUGCGUUGUUGGGUAGGGGAGCGUUCUGUAAGCCUGCGAAGGUGUGUCGUGAGGCAUGCUGGAGGUAUCAGAAGUGCGAAUGCUGACAUAAGUAACGAUAAAGCGGGUGAAAAGCCCGCUCGCCGGAAGACCAAGGGUUCCUGUCCAACGUUAAUCGGGGCAGGGUGAGUCGACCCCUAAGGCGAGGCCGAAAGGCGUAGUCGAUGGGAAACGGGUUAAUAUUCCCGUACUUGGUGUUACUGCGAAGGGGGGACGGAGAAGGCUAUGUUGGCCGGGCGACGGUUGUCCCGGUUUAAGCGUGUAGGUGUGUGUUCCAGGUAAAUCCGGUUCACUUUAACACUGAGGCGUGAUGACGAGGCACUACGGUGCUGAAGCAACAAAUGCCCUGCUUCCAGGAAAAGCCUCUAAGCAUCAGGUAACAUCAAAUCGUACCCCAAACCGACACAGGUGGUCAGGUAGAGAAUACCAAGGCGCUUGAGAGAACUCGGGUGAAGGAACUAGGCAAAAUGGUGCCGUAACUUCGGGAGAAGGCACGCUGACACGUAGGUGAAGUGAUUUACUCAUGGAGCUGAAGUCAGUCGAAGAUACCAGCUGGCUGCAACUGUUUAUUAAAAACACAGCACUGUGCAAACACGAAAGUGGACGUAUACGGUGUGACGCCUGCCCGGUGCCGGAAGGUUAAUUGAUGGGGUCAGCGCAAGCGAAGCUCCUGAUCGAAGCCCCGGUAAACGGCGGCCGUAACUAUAACGGUCCUAAGGUAGCGAAAUUCCUUGUCGGGUAAGUUCCGACCUGCACGAAUGGCGUAAUGAUGGCCAGGCUGUCUCCACCCGAGACUCAGUGAAAUUGAACUCGCUGUGAAGAUGCAGUGUACCCGCGGCAAGACGGAAAGACCCCGUGAACCUUUACUAUAGCUUGACACUGAACAUUGAGCCUUGAUGUGUAGGAUAGGUGGGAGGCUUUGAAGUGUGGACGCCAGUCUGCAUGGAGCCGGCCUUGAAAUACCACCCUUUAAUGUUUGAUGUUCUAACGUGGACCCGUGAUCCGGGUUGCGGACAGUGUCUGGUGGGUAGUUUGACUGGGGCGGUCUCCUCCUAAAGAGUAACGGAGGAGCACGAAGGUUGGCUAAUCCUGGUCGGACAUCAGGAGGUUAGUGCAAUGGCAUAAGCCAGCUUGACUGCGAGCGUGACGGCGCGAGCAGGUGCGAAAGCAGGUCAUAGUGAUCCGGUGGUUCUGAAUGGAAGGGCCAUCGCUCAACGGAUAAAAGGUACUCCGGGGAUAACAGGCUGAUACCGCCCAAGAGUUCAUAUCGACGGCGGUGUUUGGCACCUCGAUGUCGGCUCAUCACAUCCUGGGGCUGAAGUAGGUCCCAAGGGUAUGGCUGUUCGCCAUUUAAAGUGGUACGCGAGCUGGGUUUAGAACGUCGUGAGACAGUUCGGUCCCUAUCUGCCGUGGGCGCUGGAGAACUGAGGGGGGCUGCUCCUAGUACGAGAGGACCGGAGUGGACGCAUCACUGGUGUUCGGGUUGUCAUGCCAAUGGCACUGCCCGGUAGCUAAAUGCGGAAGAGAUAAGUGCUGAAAGCAUCUAAGCACGAAACUUGCCCCGAGAUGAGUUCUCCCUGAGACUUAGAGUCUCCUGAAGGAACGUUGAAGACGACGACGUUGAUAGGCCGGGUGUGUAAGCGCAGCGAUGCGUUGAGCUAACCGGUACUAAUGAACCGUGAGGCUUAACCUU
rnacentral:rRNA from 1 species